rnacentral:rRNA from 1 species
GAUGAACGCUGGCGGCGUGCCUAAUACAUGCAAGUCGAGCGAACAGAUAAGGAGCUUGCUCCUUUGACGUUAGCGGCGGACGGGUGAGUAACACGUGGGUAACCUACCUAUAAGACUGGGAUAACUUCGGGAAACCGGAGCUAAUACCGGAUAACAUUUGGAACCGCAUGGUUCUAAAGUGAAAGAUGGUUUUGCUAUCACUUAUAGAUGGACCCGCGCCGUAUUAGCUAGUUGGUAAGGUAACGGCUUACCAAGGCGACGAUACGUAGCCGACCUGAGAGGGGUGUUCGUCAUCCCGGGAGCGGGGUAGCGUACCCGAUGCGUAGGGGGGUCGCCGUUUGGGAGUUUACGCCAGUGGCGGAAGCCUUGCCGGGGCAACGCGGCGUACUUGUUGAGGGUUUCGGCUCGUAAAACUCUGUUAUUAGGGAAGAACAAACGUGUAAGUAACUGUGCACGUCUUGACGGUACCUAAUCAGAAAGCCACGGCUAACUACGUG